rnacentral:ncRNA from 1 species
UAAGAGGGAACCCGGUGGGAAUCCGGGACUGCCCCGCAGCGGUGAGCGGGAACGACCGCCGUCAUACGCACUGGGCCCGGCCGGGCCUGGGAAGCAACGGCCAGUAGGUGUCCUCCCCGGAGGACGUGUCCGCGAGUCCGAAGACCU